rnacentral:rRNA from 1 species
CCGGCACGGGUGAGUAACGCGUAUGCAACUUACCUAUCAGAGGGGGAUGACCCGGCGAAAGUCGGACUAAUACCGCAUGAAGCAGGGAUCCCGCAUGGGAAUAUUUGCUAAAGAUUCAUCGCUGAUAGAUAGGCAUGCGUUCCAUUAGGCAGUUGGCGGGGUAACGGCCCACCAAACCGACGAUGGAUAGGGGUUCUGAGAGGAAGGUCCCCCACAUUGGUACUGAGACACGGACCAA